rnacentral:siRNA from 1 species
CUAGUCUAUACUAUUAAUUGGGA